rnacentral:rRNA from 1 species
UACGGGGGGGGCAAGCGUUGUUCGGAAUUACUGGGCGUAAAGGGCGCGUAGGCGGUUUGCUAAGUUGGACGUGAAAACUCUGGGCUUAACCCAGAGCCUGCAUCCAAAACUGGCAAGCUGGAGUAUUGGAGGGGGAAGCGGAAUUCCUGGUGUAGCAGUGAAAUGCGUAGAUAUCAGGAGGAACGCCGGUGGCGAAGGCGGCUUCCUGGACAAUAACUGACGCUGAGGCGCGAAAGCUAGGGGAGCAAACAGG